rnacentral:rRNA from 1 species
GAUGAACGCUAGCGACAGGCCUAACACAUGCAAGUCGAGGGGCAGCACGAAGUAAGCUUGCUUACUUUGGUGGCGACCGGCGCACGGGUGCGUAACAGGUGUGCAAUCUGUCCAUAAUCGGGGAAUAGCCCAGCGAAAGUUGGAUUAAUGCUCCAUGUGAGUUUUAGAGGCAUCUCUUUAAUUUGAAACGCAAGGAUUAUGGGUGAGCACGCUUCUGAUUAGGUAGUUGGUGAGGUAACGGCUCACCAAGCCGACGAUCAGUAGGGGUUCUGAGAGGAAGGUCCCCCACAUUGGAACUGAGACACGGUCCAAACUCCUACGGGAGGCAGCAGUGAGGAAUAUUGGUCAAUGGGCGAAAGCCUGAACCAGCCAAGUCGCGUGAAGGAUGAAAGGUUCCUAUGGAUUGUAAAACUUCUUUAUACGGGAAUAAAACCUACCCACGUGUGGGAGCUUGUAUGUACCGUAUGAAUAAGACCAUCGGCUAACUCCGUGCCAGCAGCC